rnacentral:rRNA from 1 species
AGCAGUAGCCGCGGGAAUACGUAGGGUGCAAGCGUUAAUCGGAAUUACUGGGCGUAAAGCGUGCGCAGGCGGUUAUAUAAGACAGAUGUGAAAUCCCCGGGCUCAACCUGGGAACUGCAGUGGAUACUGGGUCACUAGAGUGUGGUAGAGGAUAGUGGAAUUUCCGGUGUAGCAGUGAAAUGCGUUGAGAUCGGAAAGAACACCAACGGCGAAAGCACUCUGCUGGGCCGACACUGACACUGAGAGACGAAAGCUAGGGGAGCAAAUGGGAUUAGAUACCCCAGUAGUCCCUGUCUCUUAUAC